CCUACGGGGGGCAGCAGUGGGGAAUAUUGCGCAAUGGGCGAAAGCCUGACGCAGCGACGCCGCGUGAGGGAUGAAGGUCUUCGGAUCGUAAACCUCUGUCAGCAGGGAAGAACGGUCACUGUGCUAAUCAGCAUUGAAUUUACGGUACCUGCAAAGGAAGCACCGGCUAACUCCGUGCCAGCAGCCGCGGUAAUACGGAGGGUGCGAGCGUUAAUCGGAAUUACUGGGCGUAAAGCGCUCGUAGGCGGGACUGCAAGUGAAGGGUGAAAUUCCCGCGCUCAACGUGGGGAGUGCGUGUGAAACUGGCAAACUGGAGUGUGUGAGAGGAUAGUGGAAUUCGAGGUGUAGGAGUGAAAUCCGUAGAUAUCUGGAGGAACAUCAGUGGCGAAGGCGACUAUCUGGCACAUAACUGACGCUGAGGAGCGAAAGCGUGGGUAGCAAACAGGAUUAGAUACCCGAGUAGUC
rnacentral:rRNA from 1 species